UACGUAGGUGGCAAGCGUUGUCCGGAAUUAUUGGGCGUAAAGCGCGCGCAGGCGGUCCUUUAAGUCUGAUGUGAAAGCCCACGGCUCAACCGUGGAGGGUCAUUGGAAACUGGGGGACUUGAGUGCAGAAGAGGAGAGUGGAAUUCCACGUGUAGCGGUGAAAUGCGUAGAGAUGUGGAGGAACACCAGUGGCGAAGGCGACUCUCUGGACCGGUACUGACGCUGAGGCGCGAAAGCGUGGGGAGCAAACGGG
rnacentral:rRNA from 1 species